AGGCAACGAAACAGUAGGCGAUGAAGAACCAAGCUGCCAUCGAAACAACAGCCAACGAGAUAGUAGGCAACGAAACAGUAGGCGAUGAAGCAGCAGGCAAUGAAAUAGCCUCAAGUACUCAUCAACCAAUCCUGACUGAAAGAGAAGGAACAACACAAGACAAUGAAACACCCUUACCUCAGGAGAUUAAUCUACAAGUCAAGCAGAAAGCUUCUACACCCGCAGGUAACAUAGGGCGCAACACUAGGGGCAGCCUUAUGCGAAGCCAAUCACAAAACAAAGAAGGGAAUGUUACACCAAAUUUUAUUUCUCCAAAACAUUUGCUUGAUGCUGCGGCAAGGAAACGAUCAGCCAGAAAGAAUUGAAUUAUUUCUGGACAAAUGCAAAGUUUGAGUGGAGAGGGUCUGAUGGGAUUGACCAAAUGAGGCCAAGUCAAGCCAAGUGAAGCCGCAACAUCUUAGAUGUUUUGGUUUAGAAACAAAUGUCUUGGAUAUUUUUUGUUUGAAUAAUGUUUGUGUUGUCUCAGUUUGAAUUUUUGGAUCGUUUAUUCUACAUGUAACAAAUGAACAAGUUAUGAUUUAAUGGCUUUACCAAAUGGUUUGUUUAUGUC